rnacentral:rRNA from 1 species
UACGAAGGGUGCAAGCGUUACUCGGAAUUACUGGGCGUAAAGCGUGCGUAGGUGGUUUGUUAAGUCUGUUGUGAAAGCCCCGGGCUCAACCUGGGAAUGGCAAUGGAUACUGGCAAGCUAGAGUGCGGUAGAGGGUAGUGGAAUUCCCGGUGUAGCGGUGAAAUGCGUAGAGGUCGGGAGGAACACCAGUGGCGAAGGCGGCUACCUGGACCAGCACUGACACUGAGGCACGAAAGCGUGGGGAGCAAACAGG